AACGAACGCUGGCGGCAGGCUUAACACAUACAAGUUGAGCGCCCCGCAAGGGGAGCGGCAGACGGGUGAGUAACGCGUGGGAAUCUACCCAUCUCUACGGAAUAACGCGUGGAAACGAGUGCUAAUACCGUAUACGUCCUUCGGGAGAAAGAUUUAUCGGAGAUGGAUGAGCCCGCGUUGGAUUAGCUAGUGUGUGGGGUAAAGGCCUACCAAGGCGACGAUCCAUAGCUGGUCUGAGAGGAUGAUCAGCCACACUGGAACUGAGACACGGCCCAGGCUCCUACGGGAGGCAGCAGUGGGGAAUAUUGGACAAUGGGCGCAAGCCUGAUCCAGCCAUGCCGCGUGAGUGAUGAAGGCCCUGGGGUUGUAAAGCUCUUUCACCGGUGAAGAUAAUGACGGUAACCGGAGAAGAAGCCCCGGCUAACUUCGUGCCAGCCGCCGCCGUAAUAC
rnacentral:rRNA from 1 species